AUAGGAUAACCCUAGCCCACAUAUAAAAUGGAGAAAACGUUUGGCAUUUCAAUCUGGCAAUCUCUCGUUUUACUUUUAUCGCGUUUGGCGAUUUCCGGCGGUGCAGGACCUGCUAGGCGGCCCGUCUUCUCCGGCGAUUUAGGUGGAUUCUCCUCGUGGUUGUCUUCGGCGUAUCCCGGUGGACCUGGGGCAGAAACCUAGACGGCCGGUAGAUUUGGGAUUCAAAAAUUCCCAAAUCGGAGCUAUAAAGUGCGAUCUGGAACAUGCAUGACCAUAUCUGUAAGAUUUGGAACCUAAGAACUGGACAUGCACAGGAGCAAUUCUACUUGAGGAUUAUCACUUGGUGGAGAAGCUUGCUAAUUUUGAUUAUGAAAGGAUUCCAGAAUGUGUUGUACAUGCCAAGGGAGAAAGUGCCAAAGGUUUUUUUGAGGUAUAACUCAUGAUAUUUCUCAUCUGACAUACGCUGAUUUUCUCCGGGCACCAGGUGUACAGAUGCCUGUUAUUGUUUGUUCAGUUCUCCACUGUUAUCUAUGAUUGUGGAAGCCCUGAAACCCUCCGGGAUCCCAGAAGCUUUGCAGUGAAGUUUUAUACCACAGGCCGAGUAAAAAUACCAUAGCAGAUGCAUGCUCACUAUUUCAGUUUCCACUUCAGCUAAGGAAGUUGAUGAGAGAGGUUAUCACACAUGCAUAACAGAACAACAUUUUAGACUCAGAUGUAAGGCACUACAUCAACACAAAGUUUAAAACAACAAUAUGAGAAUGAUAUUAGGAAACAUUGUCCCAUGAAAUUCAGAAUGAUAGUAGGAAACAUCCACUAAGAAUUCUAUUCUUUUUGUAGUCUGCCGUUUGUCAUCAGCUCACCUCCCUCCUGUAAAAGGCUCGUCUUUGGAGUUGUUCCCAAUUCUAGUCCUCAUGGUUACGAUGGAUGCUACUCAUUUUCACUCUUUCCAAAACACAUAUAUAUAUAGGAAAGUUCAUUUUAAAAUCUUCUACUAUAAUAAAGCAGAACCCUAUGAAAAAUAAAAAUAGAUAAAAAGUUCCCGCCUAAAAGAAGCUGCAUCUUGAGUGGAAGGUAAUUAGUGACAGCAGUAAACAUCUAUAAUAAUCGAGCCCACACAAAAUGCAGGCGUUUUAAUUCCUUUUGUCUUGAAACUGAUAUUUAAAUGUCAAAACUUGAAAGCUUGCUUAAAAGCUCUUCUUAUACUUAAACUAUUAUUUAAGUCAUUAAUACAUGUGUGAACACAAAAUGAAUUUAAAUGGGAAA